rnacentral:lncRNA from 1 species
AUAUAUAUAUAUAUAUAUAUAUAUAUAUAUAUAUAUAUGUUGCCUUUGUGUAAGAUAUAAUUCCAUUGGUGGUUUACUGUUAUUUUUUGUCAGAAUUCUGUAACCUUUUGUAUGUCCCUACUUUCAUAAUGUAAAAUGGCUAAAAAAAAAAAAAAAAUUGGAAAUAUAUAUAUUUAUCUGUUACCUUCCCAUAAGUUACAACUACAUUGGCAAUUUAUUUUUGUUAUUCUUUUGUUGUUCAUCUUUGGCCCAGCCUCUAAACUAUUAAAGUGAUGAGAGGCUGAUAUACCACCCUAAGGUGCUAGUCUAUUGCAUUUAUGUCACACACAUCCUUCAAUAAUGCGACCUGUCGGACUUUCAACUAUCUACUCACCUCUCAAUAAGAGACGAGUUUACUUGAUGCUAUUUUACCCAUCAUUCAACGUGUCAAAUCAGUGUACUUGCAUAUACAUAUAUACGCAAUACACACACACACACACACACACACAUACACACUGCUUUUACAAUGAAAUGCUUCACUGUGUCUUUAAAGUUUUGACGUUGUCACCUUUGUGAUGAAAGCAAUUAACCAAAAACUUCAAAGUCACUGUCUACGCUUUUCUUCUUAAAAAUCCAAACAUAUAUGAUACUCUACAUCUAAUAACUAAGUGAUCCUUCAAAUAAUAUCUGACAAUAACUAAAAACAUUAAUACACACGUGUGUGUAUAUAUAUAUGUAUGUAUGUACAUAUGUGACCACGUAACAGACCAGACCAUCAGAUGGUGUUACACAUCGCUGGUCACAAUGCGUUCGCAUUGUUUUAGCCUUCGAAUGACGCCACCCCGCUGGCUAAGCGGAGUGGUGAAAGAGUACAGCAGGGAUCACCACCCCCUGCCAGAGCCUCAUGGAGCUUUUAGGUAUUUUCGCUCACUAAACACUCACAACGCCCAGUCUGGGAAUCGAAACCGCGAUCCUACGACCACUGCCCUAACCACUGGGCCAUUGCGCCUCCACAUGUAUGUAUAUGUAUGUAUGUAUAUAUAUAUAUGUAUGUAUAUGUAUGUAUGUAUGUAUAUAUAUAUAUCAUCAUCAUCAUCAACAUCAUAUAUAUAUAUAUAUAUAUAUCAAGGAAAAGGAGGAUUUGUUCAUUUCACUGAACUCUUCAAAAAAAUUGAACCAAAAUAAUAAAAACAAAACAUUUCAUCAUUUUACUAUUUUGGUUCCAUUUUUUUUUUUUUUUGAAGAGUGAGUUAAAUGAAUGAAAGCACUAAUAAAGAAUUAUCCAAAAUUCUGACUGGAAUGGAAACCACAACCUUAUGAUCAUGAUGCUGACACUCUGACCACUGAGUCACGCGCCUCCACAAGUAUAUAUAUAUAUAUAUAUAUAUAUAUAUAUAUACACAUAUACAUAUACGUACAUACAUACAUAAAUACAUACAUACCUGAAUAAAUACAUACGUAUAUGCGCAAUACACACACACACACACACACAUACACACACACACAAAUACAUACACACAUAUAUGUAUCAAGCGCUUCAAGGUGUCAGGAUAACGACGGGUAUGUGUGCUCACCAGAUAUCACUUUAUAAAGGGAGACAACUAUCGAGCUGUAGGUUAAUAGUUUACGUUAAUCUCUCUUGAGAUGCAUGAGAUGCAUGCUUUAUGAGGAUUUCUGCUGUAAAUCCAUGGAAGGAUUAUUUCAACUAAUGCACAAAGUUCCUCUUAGUGGAGGAACGAUGGUCAUAAAGUAUGUACAAGUAAUACACAAUGACUAGUAUCUUUUCUUCGGUGAGGUUUUAAGAAAGGAAAAUGGAUCAUGCGCCAAGAUGAAAAUAUAUUUAAAAAAACAUCAUUAUAAUUUAUUCAAAAAUUUUCCGGUGUUAUUGGUGUUGCUGUUGUUGUUGUUGUUGUUGUUAUUGUCAUUGCUUUACAGUUGUUAUUGUUGAUGAUGAUGGUGACAAUAUCUACCAUUGUUAUUUAUUAUUAUUAUUAUUAUUAUUAUUAUUAUUAUUAUUAUUAUUAUUAUUAUUAUCAUUAUUAUUCAUUUUUCCUAAGGUGGCAAGCUUGCAGAAUCGUUAGCAUGCUGGACGAAAUGCUUCGCGGUAUUUCGCCAGCCCUCUACGUUCUGAGUUCAAAUUCUGCUGAGGUCAACUUUGCCUUUCAUCCUUUCGGGGUCGAUAAAUUGAGUACCAGUGAAACACUGGUGUCGAUAUAAUCGACUAACCCUCUCCCCAUCAAAUUUCAGGCCUUGUGCCUAUAAUAGAAAUUAUUAUUAUUAUUAUUAUUAUUAUUAUUAUUAUUAUUAAUUUUCUUAAGGUUGUGAGCUGGCAGAAUGGUUAACAUGCCAGACAAAAUGCUUUGUAGUAUUAUGUCUGUCUUAUCAUUUUGAGUUCAAAUUCCGCCGAGGUCGACUUUGCCUUUUAUCGUUUCAGAGUUGAUAAAAUAAGUACCAGACAAGCACUGGGGUCGAUCUAAUUGACUAGCUCCCUCCCACCAAAAUUUCAGACCUUGAGCCUUUAGUAGAAAGGAUCAUCAUCAUCAUCAUCACUAUUAUUAUUAUUAUUAUUAUCAUUAACAUUCAGACAGCGAGCUGGUAGAAUCAUCGACACAUAAGGCAAAAUGCUUAGUAGCAUUUCAUCCAUCUUCAGAUUCUGAGUUCAAAAUCUGCUGAGGUUGACUUUGCCUUUCAUCCCUUCAGGGUCGAUAAAAUAAGUACCAGUUUAACACUGCAAUUGACUUAUCCCUUCCCUUGAAAUUGCUGGCCUUGUGCCAAAAUUUGAAACCAUUAUUAUUAUCAUCAUUCUUGCCAUUGGUAUGUAUGUUUCCUUGUAUUUCUUUCCAAAUUUGUUUUAAAAUUUGCAUCAAGUCGCACAGAAUUUAAAAAAAAAUAUAUAUCUGAAAACAAGGUAAAAAAUUUUUCAAAUAAUUUUUUUUUAAGAAUUUAAAUCUAAAACAGAAAAAUAUAAUGUUGUUCAAAAAUUUAAUUAAAAUUUCAAAAACUGUAUACAAAGAACAGAGAAAGAAAAAUACACAAUCGAAAUGGUAAAAAGGCAGAAUAUCUUCGCCAAGUUUUGGGUCUAAUCGUCAGUGUCACAGUUACCUUUUACACCCGUCAACUUUUAAAGUCGCACACAUCGCACAUUUUUGGCAAUUCUGUCUUCCAGAGAAUGGAGACAUCAUUCAUUCUUAACACUGUUUUAUUCUACACCCAGUUUCUGUCUCAAAAAAUAAUUUCUCACGUGCAUUUUUAACAUCUAAUAUACAUAACCAUACAUAGACAUACAUGCAUGUAGAUAUAUAUAUAUAUACAUAUAUAUAUUAUAUUGAGGGUACUACUAUUCGUAGAUACCACACGCUAAGAGGG